rnacentral:rRNA from 1 species
AGUGAACGCUGGCGGCGUGCUUAACACAUGCAAGUCGAACGAGAACGGAUUAUAGCUUGCUAUAAUUGUCAGCUAAGUGGCGCACGGGUGAGUAAUGUAUAGGUAAUAUGCCUCUUACUAAGGGAUAACAAAUGGAAACGUUUGCUAAUACCUUAUACUCCUUAUUAACAUAAGUUAAUAAGGGAAAGAUUUAUUGGUAAGAGAUUAGCCUGUAUUGUAUCAGUUAGUUGGUGGGGUAAUGGCUUACCAAGACUAUGACACAUAACUGGUUUGAGAGGAUGAUCAGUCACACUGGAACUGAGACACGGUCCAGACUCCUACGGGAGGCAGCAGUGGGGAAUAUUGCACAAUGGACGAAAGUCUGAUGCAGCAACGCCGCGCGGAGGAUGACACAUUUCGGUGCGUAAACUCCUUUUAUAUGAGAAGAUAAUGACGGUAUUAUGUGAAUAAGCACCGGCUAACUCCGUGCCAGCAGCCGCCGUAAGAC